UACGUAGGGAGCGAGCGUUGUCCGGAAUCAUUGGGCGUAAAGAGCGUGUAGGCGGCUUGGUAAGUCCGCUGUGAAAGUCCAGGGCUCAACCCUGGAAAGCCGGUGGAAACUGUCAAGCUUGAGUCCGGAAGAGGCGAGUGGAAUUCCUGGUGUAGCGGUGGAAUGCGCAGAUAUCAGGAGGAACACCGAUGGCGAAGGCAGCUCGCUGGGACGGUACUGACGCUGAGGCGCGAAAGCGUGGGGAGCGAACAGG
rnacentral:rRNA from 1 species